UACAGAGGGUGCGAGCGUUGUUCGGAAUUAUUGGGCGUAAAGGGCGCGUAGGCGGUGCGGUAAGUCACCUGUGAAAUCUCCUGGCUCAACUGGGAGCUUGCAGGCGAAACUGCCGUGCUGGAGUGUGGGAGAGGUGAGUGGAAUUCCCGGUGUAGCGGUGAAAUGCGUAGAUAUUGGGAAGAACACCGGUGGCGAAGGCGGCUCACUGGCUCAUUACUGACGCUCAGGCGCGACAGCGUGGGGAGCAAACAGG
rnacentral:rRNA from 1 species